rnacentral:rRNA from 1 species
GUGCUUAACACAUGCAAGUCGAGCGGUAAGGCCUUUCGGGGUACACGAGCGGCGAACGGGUGAGUAACACGUGGGUGAUCUGCCCUGCACUCUGGGAUAAGCCUGGGAAACUGGGUCUAAUACUGGAUAUGACCUGCUCUCGCAUGGGGGUGGGUGGAAAGAUUUAUCGGUGCAGGAUGGGCCCGCGGCCUAUCAGCUUGUUGGUGGGGUAAUGGCCUACCAAGGCGACGACGGGUAGCCGACCUGAGAGGGUGACCGGCCACACUGGGACUGAGACACGGCCCAGACUCCUACGGGAGGCAGCAGUGGGGAAUAUUGCACAAUGGGCGGAAGCCUGAUGCAGCGACGCCGCGUGAGGGAUGAAGGCCUUCGGGUUGUAAACCUCUUUCAGCAGGGACGAAGCGUGAGUGACGGUACCUGCAGAAG